GAUGAACGCUCGCGAUAGGCUUAACACAUGCAAGUCGAGGGGCAGCAUGGUCUUAGCUUGCUAAGACUGAUGGCGACCGGCGCACGGGUGCGUAACGCGUAUGCAACUUGCCUCACAGAGGGGGAUAACCCGUCGAAAGACGGACUAAUACCGCGUACACUCCAUCUUGGGCAUCCAAGGUAGAGGAAAUGAAAUUCGCUGUGAGAUAGGCAUGCGUCCCAUUAGCUAGUUGGUGAGGUAACGGCUCACCAAGGCGACGAUGGGUAGGGGAACUGAGAGGUUGAACCCCCACACUGGUACUGAGACACGGACCAGACUACUACGGGAGGCAGCAGUGAGGAAUAUUGGUCAAUGGGCGAGAGCCUGAACCAGCCAAGUCGCGUGAAGGAUGACUGUCUUAUGGAUUGUAAACUUCUUUUAUACGGGAAUAACAAGAGUCACGUGUGACUCCCUGCAUGUACCGUAUGAAUAAGCAUCGGCUAACUCCGUG
rnacentral:rRNA from 1 species